rnacentral:rRNA from 1 species
UACAGAGGUCUCAAGCGUUGUUCGGAUUCAUUGGGCGUAAAGGGCGCGUAGGCGGCGGGGUAAGUCGGGUGUGAAAUCUCAGAGCUCAACUCUGAAACUGCACUCGAUACUGCUCUGCUUGAGGACUGGAGAGGAGACUGGAAUUCACGGUGUAGCAGUGAAAUGCGUAGAUAUCGUGAGGAAGACCAGUGGCGAAGGCGGGUCUCUGGACCGGAACUGACGCUGAGGCGCGAAAGCGUGGGGAGCAAACAGG